AUUGAACGCUGGCGGCAGGCCUAACACAUGCAAGUCGAACGGUAACAGGAAACAGCUUGCUGUUUCGCUGACGAGUGGCGGACGGGUGAGUAAUGUCUGGGAAACUGCCUGAUGGAGGGGGAUAACUACUGGAAACGGUAGCUAAUACCGCAUAACGUCGCAAGACCAAAGAGGGGGACCUUCGGGCCUCUUGCCAUCGGAUGUGCCCAGAUGGGAUUAGCUAGUAGGUGGGGUAACGGCUCACCUAGGCGACGAUCCCUAGCUGGUCUGAGAGGAUGACCAGCCACACUGGAACUGAGACACGGUCCAGACUCCUACGGGAGGCAGCAGUGGGGAAUAUUGCACAAUGGGCGCAAGCCUGAUGCAGCCAUGCCGCGUGUAUGAAGAAGGCCUUCGGGUUGUAAAGUACUUUCAGCGGGGAUGAAGGGAGUAAAGUUAAUACCUUUGCUCAUUGACGUUACCCGCAGAAGAAGCACCGGCUAACUCCGUGCCAGCAGCCGCGGUAAUACGGAGGGUGCAAGCGUUAAUCGGAAUUACUGGGCGUAAAGCGCACGCAGGCGGUUUGUUAAGUCAGAUGUGAAAUCCCCGGGCUCAACCUGGGAACUGCAUCUGAUACUGGCAAGCUUGAGUCUCGUAGAGGGGGGUAGAAUUCCAGGUGUAGCGGUGAAAUGCGUAGAGAUCUGGAGGAAUACCGGUGGCGAAGGCGGCCCCCUGGACGAAGACUGACGCUCAGGUGCGAAAGCGUGGGGAGCAAACAGG
rnacentral:rRNA from 1 species